GGCUUCAUGAGAUUUGAACAUUAUUUGACACCAACGACCUUUUUGCAGCUGUAAAUGUUUAGUUUGUCACAACCAGAUCAAAAAGUAAGAACUUGUUGUGAUUUGUGUAAAAUGUGUGAGGCUGAGUUCCUGCUGUCACUGAUGCAGCUCACAUGUAUCAGCCUCACCCUCCUCGUGCUUCAUGCUGCCUGGAUUUAAUCCUCACUUACUUUCUGUGGCUCUUUGUAAGAUCUCUGAUCACUUUCAUUAAAGUUCUCACUGACUGUUGGAUCUCUUCAUAUUUUACAGUGAUGAGAUUUUCUGCUUCUGAGGAAGUGAAGAAGAACCUGACGGGCACUGUGGGAGGAAACAUCACUCUACCUGCACCUGUGCUGGAGGAAGGAUUUCUGUCAUAUGGAGGAAAGAUUAUUGUUAUGGUGAAUAAUGGAGAAUUUAAAGUAUACAAGAACCGACUUCAGUGGGACAGAAACUCUGGACUCUUUACACUCACAGAGCUGCAGAGGAACGACUCAGGGAUUUAUACUGUCGACUCUAAAACAGGAAACGAUUUCACAUCAUCAUAUAAGCUGACAGUGUACGACUCUGUACCGACUCCUGCAGUGAAGAAAGUGAGUGUGAGCUCUGAGAGCUGCUCCUUACUGUGUUUGGUGGACAGAGAGACCACACUGCUGUGGUUUAAAGACGAGCAGAGACUGAACCAGAGCAGCUCUGCGCUCUCUCUGCCUCUCACUGUGCACAAACAGGACUUCAGCUCCUCUUACAGAUGUGUGGCUGCAAACCCUGCAGACGAGAAAACUCUUCCUGUCCCUGUGAAUACGACCUGUGGAGACACAGACGACACAGGUGACAGGAACACAGACUCCUGGUUGUUCCUGGUUCCCAUGGCUGUGUGUUGGAGUGCUGUUGUUGUUUCGAUGGUUCUGAUGGAGGGGAAGAGAGAGGCUGAGACGGCUUCACCAUCAGCUGUGCACUCACAUCAGUGUGACCUUCACUGAAACACUGGAAAUAACAACGCUUUUAGGUGCAGUUUGAAAUCGUCUUCUAAACCCGAGGAGAGGAACGUGAUCCAGAGCACAGCUGACCUCAAAAUGCAUGUUUUAGAGCAGAUUUUAGCUCUAAAUAUAUUAUUUCAUGCAGGUUUUCCCAGCAUAUAUCUUAUUACCAUUACUCUUCUGACUACACACAGUUAUACCCCCUGCCCCUCUGUGAUUUAAACGCAGCUCACACAGUAUAAAGGCUAACUCCAGCUGGAUGGAUAAAAUCGAAACAUAAAAGAAACAUAAAUGUUCUUUUGAAAUGUUGCACAGAUUUGAAACUCUGAGGUGAUCACAGGCCUCAUUCUCACAUGAGCAGCAUAGUUAAAACCUGCUUUUUACCAUCAGUGAAUGUGCAUGAAAUGCUGAAUGCUUCUGAUCCUGGAGGAUUGUAACUCACUGCUCACAGGAAUCACAAAACAGCAGCAGACUCUGCUUCAGCUCCUGGGUUUGAGUUUAAAAUGGGAAUCCGUCUACGAGCUGCACUGAGAUCAUCACAUCAGGUUUCCAGUUAGUUUUGUGGUUGAUUUUUAAAUCUCAGGGAUGUUUUUAAGGCCUGUGUGUCUGGGAGCUCAGUAUCUCUCUGCUGCUCUCACCUCCAUCGCGUUUAAAGGAGAAGUGGAGAGGAGAGGUGGACUGAUGUUUCCUCAACUCAUCUCUAAUCACACCUGAGAGGUUAAAGGUCAGCAUCCAGCCUUUUGUGUUUGAAAUGAUGAAGAGUACUAUAAACUAACAGAGUUUAUCUACAUGUGCUUUUGGUAAAAAUAAAUCCUCUUUAUUAUUAAUCAAAGAAGAGUUUCUGUUGUAUUGUUG
rnacentral:lncRNA from 1 species